rnacentral:rRNA from 1 species
AGAGUUUGAUCCUGGCUCAGGACGAAUGCUGGCGGCAGGCUUAACACAUGCAAGUCGAGGGGCAGCGGGGAGGAAGCUUGCUUUCUCCGCCGGCGACCGGCGCACGGGUGAGUAACACGUAUGCAACCUGCCCCUGUCAGGGGGACAACCCGCCGAAAGGCGGGCUAAACCCGCGUACAUGCCACCGGGGCAUCCCGGAGGCAGGAAAGGCUUCGGCCGGACAGGGAUGGGCAUGCGGCGCAUUAGGCAGUAGGCGGGGUAACGGCCCACCUAACCGACGAUGCGUAGGGGUUCUGAGAGGAAGGUCCCCCACACUGGUACUGAGACACGGACCAGACUCCUACGGGAGGCAGCAGUGAGGAAUAUUGGUCAAUGGUCGGGAGACUGAACCAGCCAAGCCGCGUGAGGGAGGAAGGUACAGAGUAUCGUAAACCUCUUUUGUCAGGGAACAAAGGCGGGGACGUGUCCCCGGAUGAGUGUACCUGAAGAAAAAGCAUCGGCUAACUCCGUGCCAGCAGCCGCGGUAAUACGGAGGAUGCGAGCGUUAUCCGGAUUUAUUGGGUUUAAAGGGUGCGCAGGCGGUCUGUUAAGUCAGCGGUCAAAGCCCGGGGCUCAACCCCGGCCCGCCGUUGAAACUGGCAGUCUCGAGUUGGAGAGAAGUAUGCGGAAUGCGCGGUGUAGCGGUGAAAUGCAUAGAUAUCGCGCAGAACUCCGAUUGCGAAGGCAGCAUGCCGGCUCCACACUGACGCUGAGGCACGAAAGCGUGGGUAUCGAACAGGAUUAGAUACCCUGGUAGUCCACGCAGUAAACGAUGAAUGCUGGCUGUCCGGGGGGAUUGACCCCUGGGUGGCGAAGCGAAAGCGAUAAGCAUUCCACCUGGGGAGUACGCCGGCAACGGUGAAACUCAAAGGAAUUGACGGGGGCCCGCACAAGCGGAGGAACAUGUGGUUUAAUUCGAUGAUACGCGAGGAACCUUACCCGGGCUCAAACGGGGAGUGACUCAGGCAGAGACGCCUGUUUCCCACGGGACACUCCCCGAGGUGCUGCAUGGUUGUCGUCAGCUCGUGCCGUGAGGUGUCGGCUUAAGUGCCUUAACGAGCGCAACCCCCGCGUGCAGUUGCUAACAGAUAACGCUGAGGACUCUGCACGGACUGCCGGCGCAAGCCGCGAGGAAGGCGGGGAUGACGUCAAAUCAGCACGGCCCUUACGUCCGGGGCGACACACGUGUUACAAUGGGUGGUACAGCGGGAAGCCAGGCGGCGACGCCGAGCGGAACCCGAAAUCCACUCUCAGUUCGGAUCGGAGUCUGCAACCCGACUCCGUGAAGCUGGAUUCGCUAGUAAUCGCGCAUCAGCCAUGGCGCGGUGAAUACGUUCCCGGGCCUUGCACUCACCGCCCGUCAAG